rnacentral:piRNA from 1 species
UNGAAAGGCAGGGUGACCUCUGCUAUAGGC